AUUGAACGCUGGCGGCAUGCUUUACACAUGCAAGUCGAACGGCAGCGCGGGCGGGGGUAACCUCGCCUGGCGGCGAGUGGCGAACGGGUGAGUAAUAUAUCGGAACGUACCCAAGAGUGGGGGAUAACGUAGCGAAAGUUACGCUAAUACCGCAUACGAUCUAAGGAUGAAAGUGGGGGAUCGCAAGACCUCAUGCUCCUGGAGCGGCCGAUAUCUGAUUAGCUAGUUGGUGAGGUAAAGGCUCACCAAGGCGACGAUCAGUAGCUGGUCUGGGAGGACGACCAGCCACACUGGGACUGAGACACGGCCCAGACUCCGACGGGAGGCAGCAGUGGGGAAUUUUGGACAAUGGGCGCAAGCCUGAUCCAGCAAUGCCGCGUGAGUGGAGAAGGCCUUCGGGUUGUAAAGCUCUUUUGUCAGGGAAGAAACGGCUGAGGAUAAUACCUUCGGCUAAUGACGGUACCUGAAGAAUAAGCACCGGCUAACUACGUGCCAGCCGCCGCAGUAACAC
rnacentral:rRNA from 1 species